rnacentral:tRNA from 1 species
GGAUACAUAGUUCAAUGGUAGAGCAAUCGGCUCAUAACCGAUAAGUUGCAGGUUCAAGUCCUGUUGUAUCCACUA